GGUGAUGGAGUCUGAUGGCUCUGCAACCUCCUGACAACCUCCUGGCAGAGAACAUGCUGAGCUAAAAGCCAAGAACAGAACACAGGGCAGAAUUACUUUGGAGCUGUUAGGUAAACCCCACCGUGCGAGGACAGUGUUUGCAUGUCCCUUUCACAGAGGGUAGCAGAGGAGUGCUGAAGGUGUGAAGGUGUUAAAGGCAGCUGGAGGAGGGCACCGAGCACCUCACAGCUGAGCUGUUGCAGUAUGGGGGCAGUUCCUUAAAGGCUGCCUACCGGCAACUUGCCUGUGAGACCUGUGGCAGCUCUGAGAAAGCUCUUCAAGUAGCAAGCUCGUUUGUCUGCAAGGCAGGCAGCUUGCUCCUUCCAGGGGCCUGAGCUUCAGAGCCUGGCUGGUUUUUAGAUUCCUGCUCCGUCUGAGUUGCUUUGCCUCAAGUCCCCAGUCUCCCUCAAGUACCAAUUCUUACAGUAAGUGGAGCAAUAUCUGAAUACACUGAAAGUCUGGAUGUUCAGCUGGAAGUACUUUGAUACUAAAUAGAUGCUGGUGGCAAACAGUAAAUUUGUCUCAGUUAAUCUCCAGCACUUCAUCCUCAGUCGAAUUACAAGGCGGGCUGCCUGGACUCAGGGCCAUGGCACCAUACCCCAGUAAAUCAGACUGAAAUCACCAACGCCCUGACAGAGCAGCCAUGCCAGUGUUUUUCAGGGCUGACUGAUAUCAGGGCUGAAUCUAAGCACCACGUGCAGGCUUAUUCUGGAAAGCCUUCCCCUAUAGUCCUGAAUUCUUUUUUAUAUCAAAGCAGAGGAUUAUGUUCAUGAUUAUUUGCCUUUUGUUGUUUAGCAAGAGUAGUGUCAGGCCUUCCUUCUGAACAGGUUUAAUUUUCCAUAUUAAUUAGAAGGGACAAAGUUUCCCAAUAAACUGUAACUUGCUUUGAGAAAAAAUCCUGUCAUGAUGCUCUCAGAAGACUGCUAAGCCAGUUUGAUGGUGAUUAAAUUGUUUUAACUGAUGAAAAUUCUCCAUCCCUGCCCCUUAUAGUCAAAAGAUCUCUCAGAAGGAAGUGUUUUGAGGGGGGAAUGAAAUGGAGCUAUAAUAUAGGGUGACCCACAGGAGAGAGAAGGCAGCGGUGGGCCCAGCAGCAAGAACAGCACAUACAGUUGAGGGAGGCUCUGAAGCGUGGAAGUCAAAGAGAAACUUAUAAAGGACUGAACGCUUCCUGUGAAAUGCAAGGCUGCUGUCAAUAUCAAAGGGCUCAGAUUUUAAAAAAAUAAAUAAUAAAAUAAA